GUUGAGAGUGGUUUUCAGUUAUUUUUUCAUUUGAAGUGGAAUUCAAAACAGCAGGGGCAUAAAGCCCAGAUACAGACAGAAGAGAAAAGAAAAGGGUCCCCGGAGAUUGCCAUUCACCUUCCACGAGUACUUUUUACAUCUGUUGUAUCAUUUACCACCACCCUCCUGGACUCUAGUCCAUCCAUUGCCUGUCUACUCCUUCGUUGGUCCCCAUUCCCCUUUGAAGACCCACACCUCGUUUCCUCUCUUCUCUGGCCAUGCGAGUUGACGGGACUCCCAAACCUGAUUUUAGAGGUAAGCACUUGACCCACACCUAAGCCAUCAGCAUAUCCCACCCCAUCCCUCAGCCCUGGUGAUUGGUUCAGGGAUGAAUAUGGAACCCAACCAGACCACUGAGUCACCAUCCUGGGAGAAUGUAAGGAACUGCCCCAGCCAUCUGACUGAUUCUUAUGGACAGAGAGUGUGAGCUGCUGGGCACCAUCGCAUGGAGACUGAGGAUGAAGCUCACUCCUCCUGUAGCCCGCUGAGCAACGGAGACAAACCAAAGCUGACGAUACCAUCCGAGCACCGUAC
rnacentral:lncRNA from 1 species